rnacentral:sRNA from 1 species
UUUUUUAAUGAUCAAUUUAUUUUUUAAAGUUAGUAUACAUAAAAGUUUGCAAAUUGUAUUUAUCUAUAAAAUAUUUUUAUUUUAUAGUUUAUAAUUGUUAUUAAGUAACGUCCUGCCAAACUCGUCCCGCCAACUCGUCCCAUAAAAAAAACAUUUAUUUUAUUAAUGUUAAUCUUAUUUCUGAUAUGUUUAUGAAUUAUUGUCUAAUUAUUUUGUAAUUUUGUAGUAAUUAUAUGCUAUCAAAUAUCUCUGCAGUUUGAUGAUUAUAACUGAAUUGUUAUAGUCAUGGAGAAAAGCAAUAUCAAAAAUGAUAAUUUUGUAGUAAUUAAAUGAUAUUAAUAUUUUGGAAGGUUUAUUUUAGUAACUAAUCGUGUAGUUAAUGUGGAGAGAUUUAGAGAAGAUUGUUAAAUAUUAAAUAUUUA